ACUGAUCUUUCUGGAUAGCAAGUUGCAUUGUGGUCCUACUCUACAAUUCCUGUUAAACAAAAAAAAGAUAGAAGCCAUAUCUUUCCUUAUCCCAUAAUCUGUUCUUCUUUGCAGGCUUUUUGUUUCUUUAUUUGCUGUGAUCUAAGGCACUUAUAUCUCAAUGCACUAAAUUAACCUACUUGUAUAACAUGAUGUGCAUCUUCUUCAAUUUUUUUUUGAUUUAAGCUCAGCAUUUUCUUGGAAAGUGGAGGAUUUGCUGUGUGAGUUUGACUGAAGGCAUGGUAGAUGAAGGUAACCUGACAAAUGGUCCAACAAAUGGUCCAACAAUGUUGAUGGUCACUGACAGAUUUUUGAACUCGCUUGAUGAUUUCUGUUAUGUUAGCCUGUGAACUAUGUUCUGGCAGUCUUGCUGGAGCCAGUAAAAGAGCCAUAUAUUUCAUGACUACAAUUAGUCCAUUGUAGUAGAAAGAUUUGGGCAAGAUUUAGAGUAAUAUCUCCAUUGGAAUGAGUGUUGCGGAUGCUAUUUUACUUGUUGUAUCACUAUUGAUUCUUGCUCCCCCAACUUUCGGUUUGGUAAAUAAUUCUGGGCCCAAAACAGCCUUCUUAAUCUCCAUGAAAUGUUAUAAUCAGAACCAUGUCAUCCACCAUGAACUGUUUGUGACUGAGAAAGAUUGGUAGGUGGCUGAAAUAAAUGAUUUAAGGAUAUAAGUUGAUGUAAGGCCAAACAUCUUUUGCUCUCUUUUUUUUUCUUUUUCAGAUUUAAAUAUCUUAUCUAGAACAUGUUGAAGGGCUUUAUAAGCUGCAUGUAAUGGUUUAUUCUUCUCUUGGCUGCUAUAGAAAGCAAAUGUAUCAGUCAUUACCGUUGUGAAUGUCAAAGAUAUUGCGAGUGUUUUGUGAUUUAAGGUUGAACCCUUCCUGUCUGCCAUAUUAGAAAGGAGGAAAAAAAAAAUUACUUCCAUGGAGAAACCUGCAUGUAGGAUAUGGGGAUCUCGCAGAUACGAUAUGGGGUGGAAUCGAUGUGAAUCAAGUGGUAAUCAUAUAAUUAAUCUCCUCAGCACGAAGGGGAGUAUAAAUUAAUAAGAGUGAACCAUGUUGAGCUGUCCAAGAUUUCGAAUGGAUUCUUGAGGUUAAUCUAUUGAAACAGGUUUAAGAUGUAGUGAAGGAAGAGAGAUCAUGAAGUAUUAGGUGGCGAUCUCCUGCUUCUCAUUCUCAAGUCAAGGAUUUAUUUAUUAGAAAUACUUCUAGCUUCAAACUCAUUCUACUAGGCUCAAGUUCUUGAGGUCUUUUUAAUCAAAAACAAAAUUCUAAUGACUGCCGCGCAGGAUCGCCUGAGUUGAAUCUGUUGUGUUGGAUGAUUUCUGGAUUGCAACAAUACUUCAUCAAAACACAGGCAAAGGCUGGCAUCCUUCUUCUUCUUCUUCUUCUUUAUUUGUCUAUUUGUUUAUUUUAUGUGUGGUAGUUGCUAUACCCAUGCUUUUAGUGGAUAUGUGAAGCAUUAGACUCUUCUUCUUUAUUUAUCUAUUUGUUUAUUUUAUGCGUGGUAGUAGCUAUACCCAUGCUUUUAGUGGAUAUGUGAAAGCAUUAGACUAAAGGAAAUAUAAAUUUAAACAGGCUGGCAUAAAUGUUAGGCAACUUUGUAAGGAGAGAUUCCAAGAUUUUGGGCUUAGGAUGAUUGCAAUUACUUGACUUUGCAAUACUAGGAAUAUCAUAAUCAGAAUUUGUGGCAAUACCUUGAUAGGACCUUCAGAGUAGACUUCUGCCUACCAACAAAAUGAGAAUUGGAGAAGGAAAGCUAGUCAGUUUUUCAUUUCAGGAAUUUGACAAGCUAGAAGAAAGAAUUGGGUUGACUCCAAUAAUUUCAAUCCGGAUAGGGCUGCAAAUAGGUUAGUUUGACUUGUGAACCAACCCAGUCCCGACCUAAUUAGAUCUGAUCCGAUCUGUAUUUGAAAACCCAUGGGGUUGAUCAGGCAGAAAAAUUGGUUCCGAUCUAAAUUUCAUAUGAAGUAUGGAUCUUGUAUUUUUCAACCCAACCUACAUAUCAUUAGGUCUAUUUUGGGUCAACAAACAAUAGGCUCGAGCUGACAUGACCUGAUCUAACUAGACCAAAAAAAAAAAUCAUAUAAACCUUCUCCUUUACUCUAAGUAUCUUUCAUAAAUUCUUGAAUAAACUCUCGUUUAAACUAAUUCUUUUUUCAUCUCAAUAAUGGCAUCUCCUCUUAUCUAUUUUCACUGAAUUACACUUAAAAAUUCAUAUUUCAUUAUUUGCUUUGGUAGAUUCUUAUUUGUAAUAUGCUCAAUUAUAUCAAUAUAUAUUUUGGAAGAUAGUAGUUUGCAAACUUAAGAAUGAUCAAUUACUUAGAUGAAAUUAAAAGUUUUUCAAUAAAUGAUUAAAGUUUAAGUUUUAUAGAUUUAAGUUCUAGUUAUCAGAGACCAUGGAGCACGCCAAUCAUCAAACUUUCAAAGGCUGCUAAUCUAUAAAACUAAACCUACCUCUAUCUCCUUCUGCUUUGGAUGAACUUAGGAGCACGACAAAAAUCCUAGAGCACGUUAGGCGAUCCACCAACAAUAGAAGUAAACUAGAAAUAAGAUUUAUUUUGUAAAAUCCUUUCGUAGGUUCAUUAACCAUGGAGAACCGGCUCGAGCAAAAAAAAUAAAAAAUCAAAGUCUUCAUGUGGCUGGCAACAAAGCAUUAGCUAAACACCAAACCUAACUAAAACUCGGUCCAAACCAUAGACAGUUUUUAAAAUUUAAGGUCUUCCCAACUACUAAUCUACACCAACACUAAAUCCAAAAUUAAAACCAUGAUAAUAUAAACACCUACUGAUAGUAAGACAAGCUCCUCAUGCAACAACUUUUUACCAAGUUGCUCCUUACUAGCCCAUCUCCUCCGGUGUAUGCCGAAGCCAACAAUGACUUCAAUAGUAAUCCACAACUAUAUGCUAAAAUUAGUUGUCCACAAUUUUGCCAAAAUUUAAUUUUGAGCUUAUAAAUCUUCCUCCUUCUCCACCGCCGCCCUCGGCCAGCCCCUCUGCUCCUCCUCCACCUUCGACGGUGACCCAGCCACCCCGCAAACCAUCCUCACCGUUGCUACCCACCAGGCAUUAGGAUUUACGAGAGGAGGGGUGGGAUUAGGGCAUUUGAACAAAACAUCUGAACUUUGAGUUGAUUAUGGGACCUGCCAUUCAUUUCAAUGUUCAAACAAUUUUAAUAUUUAAAAUAUUUAUCGCACUAGCCAUAGGCAUUACCGUCUGCAACCAGCUGCUGAUGGAGAAAUCUAAACCGUCUACGUUAAAUUGGACCGGCCAAGUAUAGAAUAGGGGUCGAAGGAAUAAAAUACCUUUUGGAGCACUGUAGAAAAACCUGCUAGGGAAUAAACACAUGGCAUCUAUACCAUAAUCUGAAACUAGCCACUCCAGGACAAUUUGGCCAAUGGAAAACAUUUAGGGCACGGCAGAUGAUUAAUAAAAAUAAUAAAAGGACCGGCCGGUCCAGCUGGACCGGACCUGGUCAGGUCAGCCGGUGAGGGGACCAGCCGCGUGUCGGUGCCCGAACGGAGGCACGUGAAGACACCGCGAGGAGGGGGUCAGCGAUCACCCCCAACCACUGCCCCAUUCCUCCGCUUGAGCCUUUGAGGAUCUCUCUCUCUCUCUCUACAUCUCUCUCUCAGUCUCUCUUGAUGCAAAUAUUUAGUUGCUCUUUGGAAUGUUAACUAUGAUUUAUAUAUUCCUAGUUUUGAAUACUUGGUUCAGAUCUGGAGGGCUUGCAUAUUCUUUGAGGACAUACCCAUGAUGAUAUGCUACUAUGUCAUGGGAUGAAGUUUGGGAUGUAACAAAAAAAUAUUCAUCAAAAAUUUUAGAUAAAAUUAGCAAGGAAUUAACAAAAAUAUAGUAAACAAUAUAGGAAACAACUUCAGAAUCAACAAAAUAUAGUAUCAUUGGUCUGUAAGUCAUAAAGGACUCUUGAAUUUUUGAGGAAAAUAAGGAUUCCUGAAUUGGUAAUGAAAAAUUUAUGAAUAAAUCAGAAAGUUUGUGAAUAAUUAGGAAUUUCUUGACUAAUCCAUUUAUUAGAAUAAUUUGAUGUCUAGUCCAAGUAAAAAAAAUGAGAAUAAUUCAAGAAUUUCCACUUAUUCAAAGAAAAUUGUCAUUAUGGCUAACGCAAGACCUAGAAAGAAAUCAGUUUUCUCUGCUUUUCGAUAUUAGCUUUUAUGGAACUCAAAAUGUCUAUGAUUAGAGAAGCGGACCAUGUAGUCUGGUAAUGGCUCAUGAUUUACAAAAACCAAGCUACAGGACCCACCAAAAUAAGGCAAAGCUGACAAGGUUAUGAUCAAAAGAAAGAUGGUCUAACUAAAGCAUGCAGUAACAAUUUAUAGCAGGCAAACUUUACAUAAAGUUUGUAAAUAUUCUUUGGUGAAUGGACAAAUUAAUCCAUUCAAUUAUAGAUACAUAAUGAGAAUCAGAAAAUAAAAUAUUUAACAAUUAAAUUAAAAUAUUUAUCGAAGAAUCCAAUAAUACAGAUCUAACGUACUUGAUUGCAUGAGACAUCAUCCAAUUAACUAUAUUAUUAGUUUUUUCUAUAAAUAUAUGUGAAAUAUCGAUAGAAAGCAACGUAGACACCAUCCACGAAUAAUUCUGCAAAAGAGCAUAGGGUCCGGCAUAAUAGAAGAUGGAUGCAAAAGCUAUCUGAUAAUCGUAAUUUUAGUUUUAAAAUUCUUUCUUAAUCCAUCUUCAUGGAUGAUGUCGGCAUCUCUUUCCGUUUAUAUUUUACCGUGCAGCAACCAGAGAGAGGCGCAGAGGACAGGGACCAAUCUUGUCCUUGGCCUUAAUUCUCGUGUAAAGGAGAUUAUUAGACAAGACGUCAGAGGCCCAAAACUUGGACCACCCCAAGAACCUUUACAUUACACUCUCAUGCUAUGCCAGGGACACGCGAACAUGCGCAAAGGUGAAAUGAACUACCGGGACAAUAAUUACCAAUAGCUACAAAAAUGGGUUCCAAGGUUAGUAAAAAGUAAUAACUUAAAUGACCAAAGAUCUCAAAGAUCUAAAAUUCAUGAUCCAACGUUUGGCUAUGCGGGAUCUACACCUAAGGGUUAGGUGCAUGGUACAUAUCAAUAGGUUAUGGGCUCGAGAACUAAAGCACUUAAUGGCUUACCGUAUCCCUCGGAUGUUUAAUGGCAAUCAAGGCAAUCAGACAUGUAGACAUGUUCUCGGUCAAUGGCCCGUGAAAAAAAGACAGACAAAUUGGUAGGAUUCAGGCAUGAACAAGCAAAGCAGCUGGAAAAACAUAAUUUUAAAUAAUCUGCAAGCAAAUGAAGCAUAUUAUUCACUGCAUGAACCAGAAUGCAGUUAAACAAUAUACAGCGCAUGCCCACUGAAAAUGCAAGUAUAUUGUACCAUAAAAGCAAGAGUCACCAUAACCACAAGUAAAAACUCAUGCCAAGAACCAAGUCUUCAUCAUCCUUCAGAAGCUAACCCAGCGUUCUCAAACUAAUAUCAGGAUCGUCCAGUACCUAAACUAGUGUCUUGAACAAAGCUAUGGUUAUAUCAAGCAUAAAUAUAACUCC